rnacentral:tRNA from 1 species
GCGGCUCUAGUUUAACCGGUAAAAUGACGGUCUCCAAAACCGUUUGAUCUAGGUUCGAAUCCUAGGGGUCGUGCCA